UACGUAGGGGGCUAGCGUUGUCCGGAAUCAUUGGGCGUAAAGAGCGUGUAGGCGGCCCGGUAAGUCCGCUGUGAAAGUCGGGGGCUCAACCCUCGAAUGCCGGUGGAUACUGUCGGGCUAGAGUGCGGAAGGGGCGAGUGGAAUUCCUGGUGUAGCGGUGAAAUGCGCAGAUAUCAGGAGGAACACCGAUUGCGAAGGCAGCUCGCUGGGACGUCACUGACGCUGAGACGCGAAAGCGUGGGGAGCGAACAGG
rnacentral:rRNA from 1 species